UACAGAGGUCUCAAGCGUUGUUCGGAUUCAUUGGGCGUAAAGGGUGCGUAGGCGGCGCGGUAAGUCGGGUGUGAAAUCUUGGAGCUUAACUCCGAAACUGCAUUCGAUACUGCCGUGCUUGAGGACUGGAGAGGAGACUGGAAUUUACGGUGUAGCGGUGAAAUGCGUAGAUAUCGUAAGGAAGACCAGUGGCGAAGGCGGGUCUCUGGACAGUUCCUGACGCUGAGGCACGGAAGGCCCAGGGGAGCAAAACGGG
rnacentral:rRNA from 1 species